GGGGCCAGAGGGUCAGUGUGGGAGGCCUGAGCUGCCCUGGGGGAAAGGAGGGAACAAAGGGGGCCCUCAGUUCUGAGCACCUGGGUAGAGAGGCUGGGUGGUGAAGUGGGUGGGGGAGGGAAGAAGGAGGGCAGCUGCCUGCAGGAAUGGGUAUAAAGGACAAGGAGGACCAUGGAGACUUUAACACUGGGCCUGGAUGGAGGAGGAGACCAGUGCUGCAAAGUCACAAUUACCUUCCCAGUCCACCUCCCUCCCUCUGAGCCCAGACGCCUCUUCCCUGCCCCCUGCCUCCCAACAUUGGGGCCAUUCACAGGGCCCCUCACCAGCUGCCCUCACUUCACCCAACUCCCUCCCCUGGAAAGAGCCCAAGAGGAGGACCCAGCUGCAGCUCCAGAUGUGGAUGGGGAUCUCUGGGGGAGGGGAGGAAGGGGAGUCUGACUCCAGGCCUCUUACAUCACUCUCAGAUGAUGAAACCAUGUCAGAGAUUUUGGCAAGGGUGUGGACUGGGGUCUGAGGAUGCAUCUGUUGGUACUAUCUUCCUCCCCUUCCCUCCUCCACUCACACCCCCCCUCCCCCACAAUAACUGCUUCAUGCAGUAGCUCAGAUCCCUGUUUGGCUUGACCUAUUAAGGUCAAAUCAAAACCAAAGAUAAUUUCAAGGGCAAAUUUCAAGGGCCAAUCAACACAUCCUUUUCAUCCCCAUGGCAAACAGGAGGAGCACCGCCAGCAGUGCCCCCAGGAUGGGGGCUGGAGAAGAGGUCUUGGUGGGAUCCUGGACCUUUUAUUAGCAUUUGAAUCUAGAGGAAGCUCUCCCUGGGGCCAGGGGGUCACCUCUCCUGGACCAGGAGGCUAGCAGAAUGUUGCAGUCAUAUCCUGCAACAUUCCUCCCCAUCUUCCAACCAAAAUAAGUCGUGGGGAGGAGACUAACACAUAUGGACCACCUACACAAGACUUCCCAGAUGACCACCAAGGCGGAAGGGAUGGUGAUGCCCAGGCAGAAGGGAGCUAGGCCAGCCCAGGCUUUUCCUCUAGGCACAGCGGACUCCAGGUUCAGCCUUCCCGGAUGGUAAUGUUGCAUUCUGAAGAGCUACUUUCCCGCCAACUCAUCUCUGGACUUCUCUGGGGCCCAACUCUGGUUUCCUGCCUGCAGGAGGUCCCCUCUGACUUCCGACAGUAGAUGACCCUUCUGACUCACAGUUCUACUGCUGGGAAAUGCCUCCAGAGCUGCUGCCCACCCCCUCUGCAUCCCUCCAGGUCACUGGCUGUCGAGUCAGGGGAAGCAGGGAUACACAUGGGCGGGAAACUCAGGCCUCCUAAAUGUCAGAGCCUCAGGACUUCGUCUACUCAGAAGUAGCUCCCUCCUGGGCCACCAGGGAGCAGCAGGGCAGCCAGCAUCCAGACAUCCCCCCUGGGCUCUGCUGCUCAGAGGCUAGAUGGAGAACCAAGAGGUGCAGAGUGGUUGGUGACUUCUCCUGGGCCAUGAGGACAGUCAGUUAAAGUCCUGGCUACUUCUUCCUGAGACCACGUGGCCUAUGGCUUCACGGAAGGUCCCACCUUCCAAGAAGGGGCUAGUGGCAGGGAAGUUGAGAAACAGAGAGACAGAAAGGUGGCAUAAAACCGAAGAGGGGGACACUGGAGAGGAGCCGGCAAGAGGCCAGGCUGGGAACGUCAGAGAAGAGGAAAACAGAGAUGAAGCCAGAGGCCUGAGGACAAGGGAAGAUGAGAGACAGGAGAUGGAACCCCUUCCCAGAGCUGGUGAUGAGGAGGAGGCUCUGAGCAGUCCUAGCCAGGCCCCAGAGAAGCCAUUCCCUUCCUCUGACAGAUGCCACCCGUGUAUACCCCUGCCCCCAAUGAAGUUAACAAAUCACCACCACCAUCCUGCCCUGGCCUGGUUGCUGUUGACGUUCAGUCCCCAGGAUGCAUCAUUUUCUUGGAUUUUAAUAGAUAAUUGCCUCGGCCAGACCCUGCAGAGCAAAUUGCCAGCAAAUGUUCAUUUAACACUUUAAAAAUCGAGGGGAAGAGGAGAGGGCCUGGAGGCAGCACGUGGGGAGAGGUCAACCUCUAAAGUGCCAGCUCUCCAGAAAUGCAGACAGACUGAGGGUUUUAAGGGAUGGUAGUGAAUGCCAGCACUCCAGGCAGUGUGUGUGCUGAAUCUCAUAGGACGGUUUUAGGAGCACUUCAACGGCCUUUUUGACCAAGAUAUUCACGUUGGCCUGAGGCUUUAUUUGAGGAGCCUGGCAGUCCUAUAAGGGGAAACCCACCUAUUACUUCAAGCAAAGCUGAUGCAGAGAGAUGAGCCAAUUGAGCAGGAGACAGUGUAAGCAGCUGUGGGGGUGUCGAGUACUCCCUCCAACCUGUGGGAGCUGUACCGUGGAGUCUAGCUUGUCACCCUCCAGAUGCAGAGCCCCUCCUCCCUGCCUCCUCUUGGUCUACAUGGACAGCCAUGGCGGUGGAGGCUGCAGAGCUAAGCAGGUGAUACUGGGCAGCGACCCUGCUGUGGGCAGGGUCCACACCCCACAGCUCUUUACUGCAUUUAUUUAACAAGCGACAUUGAGCCAGCAAUCUCUGUUGAAAAGUGCUCAGCCCUGGAGAGAGAACUGUGAACAACGUGGACACAGCUCCUGCUUUGUGGAGCUUGGUGUCUGGCUGGGGUAAAAAUAAACAAGCAGUUAC